GACGAACGCUGGCGGCGUGCCUAAUACAUGCAAGUAGAACGCUGAAGAGAGGAGCUUGCUCUUCUUGGAUGAGUUGCGAACGGGUGAGUAACGCGUAGGUAACCUGCCUGGUAGCGGGGGAUAACUAUUGGAAACGAUAGCUAAUACCGCAUAAAAUUGAUUAUUGCAUGAUAAUUAAUUGAAAGAUGCAACUGCAUCACUACCAGAUGGACCUGCGUUGUAUUAGCUAGUUGGUGAGGUAACGGCUCACCAAGGCGACGAUACAUAGCCGACCUGAGAGGGUGAUCGGCCACACUGGGGAUGGGACACGGCCCAGAAUCCUACGGGGGGCAGCAGGAGGGGAUCUUCGGCAAUGGGGGGAACCCUGACCGAGGAACGCCGCGGGAGUGAAGAAGGUUUUCGGAUCGUAAAGCUCUGUUGUAAGAGAAGAACGGGUGUGAGAGUGGAAAGUUCACACUGUGACGGUAUCUUACCAGAAAGGGACGGCUAACUACGUG
rnacentral:rRNA from 1 species